rnacentral:rRNA from 1 species
GAUGAACGCUGGCGGCGUGCCUAAUACAUGCAAGUCGAGCGAAUGGAUUAAGAGCUUGCUCUUAUGAAGUUAGCGGCGGACGGGUGAGUAACACGUGGGUAACCUGCCCAUAAGACUGGGAUAACUCCGGGAAACCGGGGCUAAUACCGGAUAAUAUUUUGAACUGCAUGGUUCAAAAUUGAAAGGCGGCUUCGGCUGUCACUUAUGGAUGGACCCGCGUCGCAUUAGCUAGUUGGUGAGGUAACGGCUCACCAAGGCAACGAUGCGUAGCCGACCGGGGAGGGUGAUCGGCGACACUGGGACUGGGACACGGCCCAGACUCCUACGGGAGGCAGCAGUAGGGAAUCUUCCGCAAUGGACGAAAGUCUGACGGAGCAACGCCGCGUGAGUGAUGAAGGCUUUCGGGUCGUAAAACUCUGUUGUUAGGGAAGAACAAGUGCUAGUUGAAUAAGCUGGCACCUUGACGGUACCUAACCAGAAAGCCACGGCUAACUACGUGCCAGCCGCCGCUGUAA